rnacentral:sRNA from 1 species
AUUUAACACACAGCAGCUUCAUGGGAAAACAACUGUAUUUUAAAUGAAGAACAGGCCUCCUCAGUGAUAACUCUAAAAUUUCUCAACAAUGUACAGACACAGACUAAUCAUAAAAGAAGAUAAUGACGAUGCUGGGCAGUGUCUGGAGGUAUCCUUUUCUCCUGGCAUUCACUCUAGAUGCUGAAACUUGGGAGUGCAGCGCUCUAGCAGAGCUGGGGGAUGUUCUCUGAAGGGCUCUGGUGGUGCUUAUUUAUCAGCCAGUAUUGAGAUUUGUCAAUAUAUCAAAAACUAUUUAGUAGCCAUAUCAGACCUUAUCACCUGAAUGCAACCUUUGGCCCACAUUCUAAAGGUGGUGACACACAUAGAUAAGGAAUGAGAUGUUUCAAGACUUUUAAGUCAUGUUAUUUUAAUAAAUGAUUAUAUUUUUGAUAAAGUGAAUUCAGAUAUUACCAGCCCAAGUGCUUUAUUGAUUUAACAAGAUGAUUUCAAAUAAUGUGUUAAGUUACCCUGCUGUGUUAAUUUGAUAAAGCUAUUAUUUUUCAUUUUAUUUUUUCAAGUUUUCAUUCACUUUUCAAAAUCAUGGUAGCAUAUAAUCACAUGCAAUGCCAGUGAAGCCCCAUAUUAAGCUUCAUACUUCUGUCCAAAUGCAUUGUAGUUGCCUAAUUUCAAGGUUCUAAUUUGGAAAUCCGAUUUAUUUUGUUUUUCUAUACAUACCAAUUUUAAGCAUUGUCUUGCAAAGUAGACAUAGGUGGUGUUUGAUUUGCCAUAAUUAACUUGAAUUUGAUUUUGUAACUAAAAUGUGGCUAUCCACAUAAUUGGAAAUCAGUGUCUUUGGGCUUUUAAUGGAGAACAAAUCACAUUGUGGUCAUGCUGGUUUUUCUGUUUCACAUUUACUUUUGCUCUAGAAGUAUUUCCGUGAGUCUGAUGACUCCAUAAGUUAUGAUCCUCAGUGUUAAGUAACGUAGACCAUUGGCAUUACUUUAAUAUUCACUUAAGCUUCUGUAUCAUUUUUUUCUGUAUUUUUCCCUUAGGAAUUUAAUUCAGGUCUUCCUCAAAUUUUAUAGCUUUAAAAAAAUAAUUCCAACCUCAGAAUAACAUAAUAAAUUACAAGACAUGACCCUGGUUCCUAUUACCUUGAUUAAAGUGACGGCAAUUAAUUUACUGAUGUUUUGUCAGUGAAAUAAAUAAUAGCAUCUUAUGAAGUUUGUGUAUCUCUGUGAUGAAAAUGAGUCACGUCAGUUCCCUCUCUGAAGGGAAGUUAAAUGAACAACAUUUUUAAAAUUAUUUGAAUUCUAAAUAAAUAUGCUUUGAAAAGUGAGUUAGGGUUUUGUCUAAUUGCACUGAGGCGAGUUAGCUUCGGUGCCAUUUUUCUCUGUACCCUUUUUCCUCCAUGGAUUCAUUUCUAUCUGUUGCACUCUAGCAUAAAGGACCCAGCCAAGAAAUUGUAAAAUAGAUUCAACAACAAAAUAAACAGGUCUUGAGUUAAUUAUCAAUCUCUAUGUACUUGAUUAAUAUUUCCCAAGCCCAUCUUAAAGGUGUAAUAAAGUAGAAAAAUAAAAAUACAUUGUUAAAAUAGCCAGAAAUGUUUUUAUAAAUAAUCCUGCUAAAUAAAUCUGAGGCCCUUUGUUAAUUUACAAUUAUCAUGAUUCAUUUUAUUAAUAAACUUGUUUGAAUUGUACUACAAAUUUAACUGAAUUAUAUCAUCAAAAUAAAUCAAACAGGGUAAUAAAAAUAACAAUUAUAAGUGACUGAUGUCAGAAACUCAUAACAACUCAUCAUUUUCUUGUAGCCUCUGAUUCUGUACUUUCUUGUGUAUUAUUAAAGAGGUAAAUGCUCUCUUAAAAUGCCUCUAGUUCCUCAGAGGUAGGAAAAAUAAACUCAACCUGCUUUGGACUUGUGUAUUUACUUGGGUUGGUUUCCAGAAUCUCCUUAUUCCUGAAACAGUAUGAUCAUGUAGUUAAACUACUCCUUUAUAUCUAUAAGUACUGUGCAGCCAACAUGUUCUUUUUUGUCCCCAACUUCUGCCAUCUUUCCAACCUCUGAGGCAUGCUAUUUUAUAGUGGUUUGCUCUUUGAAAAAUUGUUUUUGUGCCCUCUCUUAAUAGUCACAGAUACUGACACAAAACUUAAAAAUGACCAGAAAACAAUGUAUAAAUUAUUUAAAAUAAAACAUUCUUUUUAUAUCACAUUA